UACGAAGGGGGCUAGCGUUGUUCGGAAUUACUGGGCGUAAAGCGCACGCAGGCGGAUUGAUAAGUCAGGGGUGAAAUCCCGGGGCUCAACCUCGGAAUUGCCUUUGAUACUGUCUAUCUUCGAGUUCGGGAGAGGUUGGCGGAAUUCCUAGUGUAGAGGUGAAAUUCGUAGAUAUUCGCAAGAACACCAGUGGCGAAGGCGGCUCACUGGCCCGGUACUGACGCUGAGGUGCGAAAGCGUGGGGAGCAAACAGG
rnacentral:rRNA from 1 species